UACGUAGGCAGCGAGCGUUGUUCGGAGUUACUGGGCGUAAAGGGUGUGUAGGCGGUUGUUUAAGUUUGGUGUGAAAUCUCCCGGCUCAACUGGGAGGUGCGCCGAAUACUGAAUGACUUGGAGUGCGGGAGAGGAGAGUGGAAUUCCUGGUGUAGCGGUGAAAUGCGUAGAUAUCAGGAGGAACACCGGUGGCGAAGGCGGGUCUCUGGGCAAUAACUGACGCUGAGGAGCGAAAGCGUGGGGAGCGAACAGG
rnacentral:rRNA from 1 species